UGGUUUCGCCUCCUCCGAUAUGAGACCC
rnacentral:piRNA from 1 species